rnacentral:rRNA from 1 species
AUGAUACAGAAGAAGAACUCCCAGCCCAACAAGUUCAAAAACAAUAAGAACAAAACUCAGGGCAAAGGCAAGUUUGAUACAAAGAACAAGCCAUCACAUUCUACCAACUUCAAGAAGAAUUCUCAUAAGAAGGGGAAGGGACUUUUCCAUGUCCACGGUGAUCCUAAUCACUGGGCUCCAAAGUGUCCUAACCGCUUUGAGGAGCGCGAACAUGAGAAGAGGGGCAAGUCCGCUAAUGUUGUCAUCGGUGAUAUUGAUAUGAAGGAAUCAGGGUACGAUAUUUUACCUACCAUCCUUUCAGUAUUUCAAUCCCCUGAUUGGCUAAUUGACACCGGUGCCAAUGUACAUGUUUGUGCUGACGCCUCCAUGUUUUCUUCUUACCAGGCAACAGGGACUUCACCCGUGUUGAUGGGGAACGGGUCACAUGCCAUCGUUCGAGGUGUUGGUACGAUCGAUCUGAAGUUUACUUUGGGGAAGACUAUGUGUCUGAAGAACGUUCAUCAUGUGUCGUCCAUAAAUAAAAAUCUCGUUAGCGGUUCCCGUUUAUGUCGAGGUGGUUUUAAGUUGGUUUUCGAAUCCAAUAAAGUUGUAAUUUCUAAGUAUGGACAAUUUGUUGGAAAAGGCUAUGAGAGCGGAGGCUUGUUUCGCCUGUCUUUGUCAGAUAUUUGCACUAAAGUUAUUAAUAAUGUUUGCCACAACAAUGAGUCUGAUAUUUGG